UACGUUUUAGAACAUUUACAUUUAAUUCUUGAGUUGCAACGCUUGCUGUCCGGGUGGGUUUUAACCAAAUAAGGACAGUGACAUCAUUCGUUCUUUUUGUAGGUGUGCUGGAAUCUAUCCACUUGUGUAUUGGGGCAAAUACAGCUUUUCGAAACUUGAAAUCUCCACACGCUGGUGACGCCUGCUGGUCAAAACUCUGCAAAUUCAACAAAAACGCAAAAAAGUGGAAAGUGGAAAUUGUGAGAACGUAUGGGAAGAAAAUGAUACCCAGUAUACUGCAGUUCGAUCAUCAGAAGUACAGGAACAAGGAGAAGGAACAGAUGAAGAACAAUCAGAAAGUGUCACAAUCCAAAGUAUUAAGAGAUACAAACACAGUGAAUCUUCAUAGAUGCAACAGCAUUGAGCGUCUGGAACCAAACUUCUCUCAUGAUUUAGUCCAAGCUGUAAAGUCUUGUUCUGAUGUACCAGAAGGUCCAGAAUGAGGUGAGUUUACUUUACUGGCAUUAUUAAUGACAUGAAUUCAUCAUCACAUUCAAGGAUGGCUAACAUUUGUUCAUGAAUAUUCUUAAAUGUUUUAUUUAUCUGUUGCAUAUUUUUGUGUGACAUGCACAUAGCUGCCACAAUCAAUCCAAAUGAUGAAUAAUUUGCUCUGCAAAAUUAGCAUUACUUUUUUCAUUUUUAUCUCACUGUACUUAUUUAUAUUUUCUGCACUUUAUUGCCUGCACUUUUAAUUUUUUGGCGUAUCUUGAGCCAAACUUUUGUUUUUAUUUUCUGAUAACCACAGAAGUGUCUCUUGUAAAUUUUACAUAAUGUGAAACUAAAUCUGUUUUUGUAAGAUGCUCUGGCGUUUAGCAUCUUUGAGUGAGAAUACUUGUAACACAUCCUUAUCAUUUGUUACUGACAUUAUUUGUAGUUUAUUAUUUGAAAUCUUAUUUAGGAUUAACGUAAUACAGGUUCUUUGUAAUAGAAGCAAAUACACACCAUGAAAAAUGUUAACACUUCUGUGUCUUUCUUUAGCCAUUUUAAACUUUAAUAUCUACUGAUGCACAGAUAUUAAUGAGCUCUUCUGGACUCUUCACCUUAACAGUCACUGUUAUUGCAUUAUGUUUUUUCUAGAGUUUAGUUAUUCUCAGAAAGUAUUCAGGUCAAGUCUUCUGCUCAGAUCGUUCUCAGAGAAUGAAACAAAUUGGAAAACAAACAAGUUUAACAAUUAAUUCUGAAAAGAAAUUAGGAGUAUAUGCAUAUCCUUUUGUGCAAAAGGCUCAUAUAAUGACACUGAUUUAUAAUGCAGACGCACAAAAGCGCUUUCUUCUCUAGCGCAGGGACUUUUAUUUUGGCGGAAUGCCGUCCGUUCUGUGGAGCGCUUCACAGCGCAGUGCACCAGACAAUUACGUCAGAAUCAUAGACAGUAAAAGAAAUGGACACAGCUACCCCGUUGGAUUCAACGAAGACAAGUGAAGUCAAUUAGAAGCACAGACUCAA
ensembl:lncRNA